rnacentral:rRNA from 1 species
UGACAAAACAUAAGAGGUCCAGCCUGCCCAGUGACAAAAUUCAACGGCCGCGGUACCCUAACCGUGCGAAGGUAGCAUAAUCACUUGUUCUUUAAAUGAGGACCUGUAUCAACGGCACUACGAGGGCUAUACUGUCUCCUUUUUCCAAUCAAUGAAACUGAUCUCCCCGUGAAGAAGCGGGGAUCAAAAUAUAAGACGAGAAGACCCCAUGGAGCUUUAAACUCACCAUACACCUCUGUGCCACCACACCAUUAGACACAAGAGAUCUGCAUGUUAGUUUUAGGUUGGGGGGACCACGGAGCAUAACUUAACCUCCGUAACAAAUGGGCUAACACCCUUAUCCACGAGACACAGCUCUAAGAAUAUUAAACUAAUGCUUAUGACCCGAUAUUCGAUCAAUGAACCAAGUUACCCUGGGGAUAACAGCGCAAUCUACUUCAAGAGCCCAUAUCGACAAGUAGGU